rnacentral:rRNA from 1 species
UACGUAGGGCGCAAGCGUUAUCCGGAAUUAUUGGGCGUAAAGAGCUCGUAGGCGGUUUGUCGCGUCUGCCGUGAAAGUCCGGGGCUCAACUCCGGAUCUGCGGUGGGUACGGGCAGACUAGAGUGAUGUAGGGGAGACUGGAAUUCCUGGUGUAGCGGUGAAAUGCGCAGAUAAUCAGGAGGAACACCGAUGGCGAAGGCAGCUCGCUGGGACGUUACUGACGCUGAGGUGCGAAAGCGUGGGGAGCAAACAGG